rnacentral:rRNA from 1 species
UACAGAGGUCUCAAGCGUUUGUUCGGAUUCAUUGGGCGUAAAGGGUGUGUAGGUGGCGCCGUAAGUCGGGUGUGAAAUUUCGGAGCUUAACUCCGAAACUGCAUUCGAUACUGCGGUGCUUGAGGACUGGAGAGGAGACUGGAAUUCAUGGUGUAGCAGUGAAAAUGCGUAGAGAUCAUGAGGAAGACCAGUGGCGAAGGCGGGUCUCUGGACAGUUCCUGACGCUGAGGCACGAAGGCCAGGGGAGCAAACGGG